UUGUUAAGAAGGAAUGGAUAUUAGACUGUUAUAGCCAGAAGAAGCUUGUUGAUAUUGAUAAUUACAUGAUGCAUGCUGGGAAACCGUGGCACAAAAGCAAUUUCACUAUUGAAAGUGGUAGUAAUCAAAAGCUAUCCACACCUAGAAAAUCUGAGAAACAAGUGGAAAGAGGAUCACAUUCAAAGCCAACUGCCUCUGCUUCCUCAAAGAGUAGAGAUUCUAAUCCUGCUAAAGAGCACUUCUCUCGUUUGAAAGUGAAGGAAUGGGCUAUUGAAGAUCUGAAGAGAACCAUCUCAUGCCUGGAGAGUCGGGAGGAAAAGCCUGAGCCAAGUGAAAUAAAAGAAAUAGCUGCUGGAGGGAUCAUAAUUUGUUUACAAGAUGCC
rnacentral:misc_RNA from 1 species